UUUUUUUUUUUCUUUUUUUUCCUUUAGUAUCCUCAGAAGCUAAUGCAGGGUUCUGUUUGUUUGUUUUUCCUUCAUGUUUGUGUGUCCUUGCUGGGAUUACAGGUGUGUCCAGAUGAGUCCAGCCAGCACUGGUGUUUCGCUGUUGGUUUUAUGGAACUGCGCCCGUGUGACUGUGACUGACUGAUGAGGGCCUUCAGGUGUGGACCCCGGAGGGAUGCUGGGAUCCAGAAGAGUCUCCCCUUUUUCUGUUGCUCCUUUUUUGUUUUUUUGCGAGACAGCUUUCCCUGUGUAGCCCUGGCUGUCCUGGAACUUGCUUCGUAGACCAGGCUGGCCUCACACUCAAGAGAUCCGCCUGCCUCUGCUUCCCUAAUGCUGCCACUGAAAAUGUGCGUUGCCUGCCUGGCACAGCUGCUCAGUUUCACGGAGGGGCAGUCAUGCACAAGCUAACAGGUGCCAUGAAGGUUGAGGUGGCUUGAACCAGAAGCAAGCCUAGUCUUUUUUUUUUUUUUUUUUAAGAUUUAUUUAUUAUAUGUAAGGACACUGUAGCUGUCUUCAGACACUCCAGAAGAGGGCAUCAGAUUUCAUUACGGAUGGUUGUGAGCCACCAUGUGGUUGCUGGGAUUUGAACUCAGGACCUUUGGAAGGGUAGUCGGUGCUCUUAACCGCUAAGCCAUCUCUCCAGCCCGCAAGCCUAUUCUUAAGAAGGUGGUGGAGCUUCACCAGAGAGUCAGUGACUCUUCUGAGUGUGAUCCGAUUUGCUGCGGGAAGAUGGCAGGCAGGGAGCCCGUGUGGAUCCUGUUUGAGGAGCAGCAAGCAAAAGCCAAAAGAAAAGAGGGUGUUUAGGGGGAGUAUUGACCAGCAGGUGAUGAACAAGGCAGUUGCUUUCUGAGCUAGGAAGUGGGGGCCUCUGUCCUCCGCAGCAUCCUGUUGCAGUGGGACAGGACACACAGCGCAGCCAGCUACAGAAGAAUCAGCGAGGCCCCGGGCUGCAGGAAAGGGCUGAAGUGUGCCAUAGAAGGGUCCUUCUUUGGAUGACGAUAUUUGUCGAAGUACAGACGAGGCCAGGCAGCAAGGAGUUCUGGGUUCGGGGUGCACAGGAUAGGCCAGAUGUUGAAAGAAGGUCUUUUUCAGAAUAGUUUGCAUAUGUAGCUGCUGGUAAUUGAAAAUGUGGGUCAUGUCGGCGAGUGUCCAGAAAAUGGAGUUCCCAUCCCUGGGAAACCUUGUGAUGAAAAGCAAGCAAAGAGAAAAGGCUUCUGGGGACAGGGGGAAAAAUCGAGAGUUCUCAGGGAAAAAGACUAAUUUUAAUACAUAAAGAUGUAUUACUUAGAAACUGCCUGGUUAUAAUAGUAUUUGCUAUCUUUAUCAGCUGGGGGUGGGGGAGGGCAGGAGUCAGAAAUAUCUAGGUAUAUAUAGUAUUUCUCAUGGGUUUUUUUUCCCCCUUUCAUCAGAGUCCGAGGAGUUUGCCUUUUUCUUAAACUUGUCAUCAGCUCCCAGACUUGCAGGAUUUUUUGUUGUUGUUGAAGGCCAAGCUAUCAAAAUCUAGAGAAGCUUGAAUUUUAUUUUUAUCGGAGAUUAAAAAAAAUAAAUUAAAAAAAGACUGCCCAAGGCCGUAUGCCCUAUGGGUCAGAAUUUUCAUUUCUGGCUUUUCUGUGGGUCUGCUGUCUUGUUUGGUGCCCGGCUAAGUCCCGGGAAGGAAAGGAAACAGUCACAACUUGUGGCUGCAUUUCUUGCAAGGUCUAGACCUUGCAAGCCAUUAUGAUCUGUGUUAAUGAACAGCAAAGAGAAGGAAAAGACAGGGACACACCAGGAAGAGAGGCCAGGAUUUCGACCUGUAGUGCGGUAUUGUUGCACCAAUUUAAAAGCCAAAAGACGGGUUUAGGCAGCCUAGUUUAAUCCUGUCAGCAUUUGGGAUUUCGCAAAGGUAGGAGAAACCUGAGCGUCUCAGAAUUAGCCGGGUACUUCAGUUAGUCCCUUCAGGAGUGAUGCUAAUGACGAGAGGUCAUCUGAUUGCCGAGACUCCUUUAUGUCACCGUGUAGAUAUGCUGGUCACUAGCCAGUGCAAUCCCAGGGGAGAGCCUACAGAGGAUUUUCUUCUUGACGCCUCAGGAUCACAUUUUGUGAAAAUUCCUCUUUGUCACCUCUAGGCUGCCUACUCAAGGCCGCCGGGGACCAGGGGACAAGCUCCAAAAGUGCGAUCUUAUUACUGAAGUAGCCCAGGUCUCCCUUUGUGCUCAGAGGGGAAGUGCUACCAAGGUGUAAUUACCUUGUAGUAUGUGUGAUUCGCAAGACUUAGGAGGCGGGAGGUUCCAAAAGGCCUCUCUCUGUUUUUGAAUGUAGUAUCCUUCCAGAAUGCUCCAAGAAGCUAGUGUGCUGGGAGAGUGAGUAAGGACCCUCCCCCGCCUUACCUGCUUUUUGGAUGUUGGGUCAUUAGGGACUAGUCUUGGUUUUCAAUUAGCCCUCUCCUUUAUUUGUGCUUUUCCUGUAAUGACUGGUGGAGUCGUGCUCAUAGGGGUAGGGGUCUCUUUUUCAAUGUUAAUAUAAAGAAGCGGAGGAGCACCAACUGCUCUUCCAAAGGUCCUGAGUUCAAAUCCCAGCAACCACAUGGUGGCUCUCAACCAUCUGUAAGAUUCGAUGCCCUCUUCUGGAGUCUCUGAAGACAGCAACAGUGUAUAUAUAUAAAUAAAUAAAUCUUAAAAAAAGAAAAAAGAAAAAGAAGUGGAGAUAGCCAGGCAGUGGUGACACAAGCCUUAGAAUCCACCAAGUCUUAAGAAUCCAGAGGAAAGCCGGGCGUGGUGGCGCUUGCCUUUAAUCCCAGCACUUGGGAGGCAGAGGCAGGUGGAUUUCUGAGUUCGAGGCCAGACUGGUCUACAAAGUGAGCUCCAGGACAGCCAGGGCUAUACAGAGAAACCCUGUCUCAAAAAAAAAAAAAAAAAAACAAAAAAACAACAACAACAACAACCCACCAACAAACAAACAAAAAGAAUCCAGAGGAAGGUGGAUCUCUGUGAGUUCAAGGCAAGUCUGAUCUACAGAGCAAGUUCUAGGAUAGCCAGGGUUAUGUAGUUUCUAAACAAACCUGAAAUU
rnacentral:lncRNA from 1 species